UGAGAGUUUAUAAAAGGGUAUGCAAUAAAAGUCUUGGUAAAAGUUUUAGGACGAAACCUUCGAAAAUUGCAAGGAGAUAUACAUCUGUGAUUUGUAAGUUUCCAAAAAGAAAACUUAAAAAAAUAAUCAAUAAACUGUGAAUUGAAUCAUCUUAGUAACAGAAAAAAAAUCAAACGAGAAUUUACAAGUAAUGGCGAAUGAACGUAAAAAAUAGCUUAAAAAUUAAAAAGGUUUGUAAAAUUAACUAGAAUGGUACAAGUCCGUUAACAAACUAAAUUUAAACAAAAAGUAGCGCAAAUUUGUGUGAAAAAAGGAGAACCACCUUCUAAAAGCUAAAAAACUUUUAACCGAUAGUAAACAAGUACUGUGAAAGAAAGACUAAUAAAUCCGUAAAGGAAACUAUUUAAAUUGAAUAUUCAUAAUGUUUUGAAGUUAAAAACAACUACAAAUUGCCUUUUGCAUAAUGAAUCAGCAAGUUAAUAAAUAUUGCAAGUUAAACAGAAAUACAAAGACUAAAAGUAAUAUUUAUUAGACCUGAAACCAAGUGAUCUAACCUUAAACAAGUUGAAGACUAAUUAAACCGAGUUGGAGGACUGCACUCACAUAUGUAGCAAAAUAUGGAGAUGAUUUAUGGUUAGGAGUGAAAGAUUAAUCAAACUUGGAGAUAGCCGGUUUUUCACGAAAUGUAUUUAAGUACUACAUGAUUAAAUUAAAUUAUAUUUAGAGUACUAACUAAUUAAGUGAUGGGGUGUAAAAACUUACUGAACUUAGUCUAACUCCGAAUUAGAAUUUUAAAGGUUAAUCAUAGUCAGUCUUUAAGCGAGAAGGUUUAAAGACGAAAGGAAAACAAUCCAGCUCAUUUAUUAAGAUCUCAAAAUUAUAACUUAGAGAAAAGAUUUCUAGAAAGUCAAAUGUAUUAUUCGGAUAAGCUUAGAAGCAGUUUUUCAUUAGAGAAAGCGUUUUAGCUCAUCAUUUCUUUUCUACAAAUUUAAAAUAAAAGAGACUAUAAGUUAUAUGUCGAAAUAAUGAAUCAAAAAAAACUUUGAUAGUAGUGAAAUAUUCUGUAAUUAAAUGUUUGAAAAAAUAAAACUCAGAAAAAAAGAAUGCUGAUAUUAGUAGCGCAAACUAUGUUCUAAAUCAUAGUCGCUUUAUACCUAAGGUUUUUAAUGAAAGUUUAGUAACAUUAAGUGAGUCGGGCCUUAAGAAGUAAAUGAAAGUUGAAUUCAAUAGGAAUUUACAAUAUAAAACCGUUUGUAUGCAAAACUUGUGAAAAAAACUAAAAAGUUUAUUGAUUAAAUUAAGGAAAUUUCAAUAAGUUUUAGCUUUUCAAGAAAAAAUUACAAUUUAAGACCGUACUUAAACCGACACUGGAAGGUUAGUUGAAAAAAUUAAAGUGAACGAAAAAAUUGUACUGAAGGAACUCGGCAAACUAACUCUGUAAGUUCGCGAUAAAGAGAACCUAUAACAAAUAAAGUAGGUAACAUAAAAUAAAGAGUAACGACUGGUUAGCAAAACCACAGGACUUUGCCAAUUUUAAAAAGAAGUAUAAAGUCUGAUGCCUGCCCAGUGCUUAAAAAAGAAGAAGUUCAGUAAAAGCUUAACUUCGAAUUCUAAGUAAACGGCGGUUCUAACUAUAAGAAUCCUCAGGUAGCGAAAUUCCUUGGCGGGUAAAUUCCGUCCUGCACGAAUGGCUUAACGAUUGCUCUGCUGUCUCCAGUACAAAUUCGGCGAAAUUACAAUACCUGUGAAAAUGCAGGUUACUUGCAGUAAGACGGAAAGACCCUAGAUCCUUUACUUUUAUUUUAUAUUGUAAAUCUAUUUUUAUUGAAUAGCAUAAGUGGGAGUACUUACUACUUAGUUGAAAUACCACUCUCUGAAAAAAAAUUUACUUAAUUAAAUCAUGUUUAAGACAGUGUAAAAAAGAAAGUUUACUUGGGAUGAGUACCUCCUAAAAUGUAACGGAGGUGUGCGAUGGUAAAUAAAAAUAUAAUGAUAAAAUUGCUUGACAACAAGAUUGAUAAAUCAAAUUGGGACGUAAGUCAGCCAUAGUGAUCCGAUACUACAGUGUGGAAUUAAUAUCGCUCAACAGAUAAAAGGAACUCUAGGGAUAACAGAUUCAUCGUGAUUGAAAGCUCAUAUUAAUGUCACGGUUUGAUACCUCGAUGUCGACUCAUCUUAUCCUGAAAUAGAAGAAAAUUUCAAGGGUCUAGUUGUUCGCUAGUUAAAAAGGUACGUGAGUUGGGUUCAGAACGUCGUGAGACAGUUCGGUCCCUAUCUACUGCAAGAAUUGAAAAAUAAAAGAUUAUUUUUAGUACGAGAGGAUCGAAAUAAAUUAACCUCUAGUGAAUUUGAUUGCUAUACCUAUGGCAAGUCUAUUAGCCAAGUUAAUUAAAUUUAAAAACUGAAAGAAUCAAUCAGUUUAAAAAUCCCUUUUUAUUUUUCAGGAAUUAUCUAAAAGACAAUUAGAUAGAUCGGUUGAAAAUGUAAAUUUAGUAAUAAGUAAAAAAAUUUAAAAACACGAAUUCGAUCAAAAACUUUUAAACU
rnacentral:rRNA from 1 species